UUUUAGCCCAGAUGGAAAUAAAAAUCCUUAGGGAUAAAAAUGAAUUUUUUCUAAACAAAAAAGAGCGACCAACGGAAGCUCCUUUAUUGUUAUUGAAAAAACCAUUUUCAUCCCUAAGAUUGAAAUGAACAGCUGGAAUUGCU
rnacentral:sRNA from 1 species